rnacentral:rRNA from 1 species
AGAGUUUGAUCAUGGCUCAGAUUGAACGCUGGCGGAAUGCUUUACACAUGCAAGUCGAGCGGCAGCGCGGGGCAACCUGGCGGCGAGCGGCGAACGGGUGAGUAACACAUCGGAACGUACCCAAUCGUGGGGGAUAACUAUCCGAAAGGAUAGCUAAUACCGCAUAAGUCCUGAGGGAGAAAGCGGGGGAUCGCAAGACCUCGCGCGGAUGGAGCGGCCGAUGGCGGAUUAGCUAGUUGGUGGGGUAAAGGCCUACCAAGGCGACGAUCCGUAGCGGGUCUGAGAGGACGACCCGCCACACUGGAACUGAGACACGGUCCAGACUCCUACGGGAGGCAGCAGUGGGGAAUUUUGGACAAUGGGCGCAAGCCUGAUCCAGCCAUUCCGCGUGAGUGAAGAAGGCCUUCGGGUUGUAAAGCUCUUUCGGCAGGGAAGAAACGGUUUGGGCUAAUACCCUGAGCUAAUGACGGUACCUAAGAAGAG